UUUUUUAAUAGUAGCCAUCCUGAUGGCUGUAAGGUUAUCUUCGUGUCUCUCACAAAGAUACCUGUCACUGAUUUAGGGCCCACAUAGAUAAUCCAGGAUUAUUUCAUCAAGAUCCUUAAUUACAUUUGCAAGACCAGUUCUCCAAGUAAGGUCACAUUCACAGGUUCCAGGGACUCAAACAUUGACGUAUCUUUUGGGAGACCACCCUUCAACCCAUUAUUCUCCCUUUAUUUUCCUGCUUGAUACCUAUUCCAUCUGACGUAUAUUUACUCAUUUAUUAUCUUGUUUAUUGACAGACAAUAAUCAAAAUAUAUCCAUGAGGACAAGCAUUUUUGCCUGCUUUGUUUCCAGGGUUUAGAAUACUGUCUGGAUGGAGUUCCCAUCGUGGCUCAGUGGUUAACGAAUCCGACUAAGAACCAUAAGGUUGCGGGUUCGGUCCCUGCCCUUGCUCAGUGGGUUAACGAUCCAGUGUUGCCGUGAGCUGUGGUGUAGGUUGCAAACACAGCUCGGAUCCUGCGUUGCUAUGGCUCUGGCAUAGGCUGGUGGCUAUAGCUCCGAUUCGACCCCUAGCCUGGGAACCUCGACAUGCCACGGCGGCCCAAGAAAUGGCAAAAAGACAAAAACAAAACAAAACAACAAAAAAAACCACUGUCUGGCAUAAAUGGCUAUUCAGCGGAUAUUGGUUAAAUGAAGGGGUGGCUAGCCUAGGUAAAUACUGGCAGAAAUUCCCUCUCCCUCCUUUGAGGGGAAAAGGUUGGAUGUGGGGUAUUAGAUUACCUACAGCAGGUUUCUUCCUGUAGGAAUGCAAUCUCCUUAAGAUUACCCAUCAAUGAGGACACACUUCAGGGUUCUCUUUAACGGAAAAAAAAAUUAGAAAUACAAGGAUUUCUCCUUGUGGCACAGCUGAAAGGAAUCCGAUUAGUAUCCAUGAGGAUACAGGUUCAAUCCCUGGCCUUGCUCUGUGGGUUAAGGAUCCUGGGUUGCUGUGUGCUCUGGUGGUAGGUUGCAGAUGUGGCUUGUAUCCCAGGUUGCUAUGUCUCUGGCCAGCAGCUCCAUGCCAGAUCCCAGCUUCCUCUGCAACCUACAUCACAGCCCGUGGCAAGGUGGGAUACUUAACCCACUGAGCAAGGCCAGGGAUGGAACCCGCAUAUGGUUACUAGUUGGGUUCUUAGCAAUGAACCACAGUGGGAACUCAGGCAAUUCUAAAAAAGAAUUUAAAACAAAGUUGCAACCUUCUUUUGCUCUAGUUCCAUGCCCAGUAAGAAAAUUUCGGGUUUGGUUUUCACCUUUCUCUGUCCACCAAGAGGGGUGCUAUAACCAGAAGAGCUAAACAGGCCUCAUGGCCUGCCUCACUCCGAGUUUUC
ensembl:lncRNA